rnacentral:sRNA from 1 species
ACUAAUUGACCAACUGUUCCAGCCAGUUAAGUGGUCUCCAAUGGCCGCAAGAAAUGUGGUAGAAAAAGCAGAGAUGGGGUGGGUAGAAAAUGUUCAAGAUAAGCCAAGAAUUUCGUAACAUGUGCCAUCCAAGAUGAGGGAGUGCUGGCUGCCCAGAUAGAGAUAGAAACCGAGCUCACUGCUCAUUUCUUCUUCGCUAUUAUUAUUAUUAUAAUUAUUAUUAUACUGAUUUAUAUUUCGCUGAUUGCCCGCUGUCCAAGUAACCUCGAAACGUGCCAAAACCGCAAAGAUCUGUCAUAUUGUACAGAGCAGAGCAGCUGGUCCAAAACCCAGUAAGCAAACAGUUGACAAUUGGCGCUCGUUAGGUUAACACAGGGCACAAACAAGAGGGAAGUUGGCCAGACUUAAGACUUAAGUUUUGCUUACAAGUCGAACUAUAAGUACGACAAACGCUUCCGGGCGGAAUCCGCCUUAUAUACUAAGCUUAUACAUAUAUGGAGUGGAUCUCUGGCUGAGAAGCGCCAUUCAAGUUAAUUUGCUCCAAUUAUGAAAAUGCCCAUGUGCUCAUUAAACUUAAUUGAGAACUGAGAAAAGAAGAAGGCGAACCAGAGAAGACGCUUUGCAAGCACAAAUAAAAACAAAAGAUUGGUAUAUCUAAAAAACUGAGCACUGAGUGAAUGAGUGAAUAAAAUGAUUGAAUGACAUUCGUGCCAAACGGAUCAACGCAUUUUCUUUUGCUACCAUAAAAAUACUACAAUUUUUUAGUCGAGAACUAAUGUCGCUACGGAUGCCGCUGAGAGGCUAAAAAUAUGAAACAAAAACAUAAGGGGCAAGCUCGUCGGAUCGACGAAGAUGGAACAUAGAAGCGGUUGUAAGCUGUAAGGCUAAAAGAGCUGAAAGCAAAAAGAGCUAUAAAUUUGCAGCCACAUUCUUUGGGAACGGGCCAAAGCCGCCGAACAGGUUGAACUACUUUGGUUGAGCAGAAAUCCCAGCGGCAGCAGAACCAUGGCCAAUAAUUCCGAGUUCCAACUUGAGAGCUCCAGCUGCAACUGCAAGACCGGACAUUCGAUGGACGUUUUAGGAGCGGCAUGGCUUCGACAUCGCCCAGAACCAGCGAUUGGAUAAAGCUGCCCCGCUCUAUAAAUAGAGCCCUGGCCGAGCCUUAUCAGCCUCGAUCCGCGUGGCCAGAGUUUCGCUUUUCAAGUCUCUGGCUUUUUUCCUUUUCUUUUCUUUUUGUUAUUUUUUUUUCACUCGCUCUCGAGUGGCCAUAAAAAUUUGUUGCAUUUCCGUUGGCUUGUACAAGAAAAUAUGCAGCAACUCUCUUGCAACUUGCCACUUGCAACUUGCGGCCUGCGACUGGCAACUUGCAACGCUGAAAACUGGAGCAACAACAAAGGCUGGGCAGCAUUUUCCGAGUAACUCAUUUCUCAUGUCUUUACUUUCAGCUCUUCAAAGUUAUCAUUAAUCUCGGCACAGCAACGAGAUGCACACAGCACAUCUAUCUGUGGGCUGUAUGCUAUAUGCGAUACAAGAUCGUUGCCGGUAAUUAAAAUUUCUCACAUAUGUAUGUGAGUAUUUACAUAGUCUGUGAUUAUGCGAGGCGAUAGCUUCGUGGAAAACAAGGUGGCAAUUAGGCGGGACUGAAAACCAGCCAUAUAAUGCAAAUAGUUGGUAGUCCACGAUCCGUAGAACAGAAUGGAUUACUCUCACCGUCUUUUUAUAUGCCAGCAAAGAGGAAAUGUUUACAGCACAGCCAACUGCAAUCCAUUAGCUAUUUUUAUAGCAGCACAAAAGCACAAAAAUAACAAACAAAAUCUACACAUAUUUCUUAGAGCGGGAAUAUUGCCAUUUCCAUAUAUUUAUGAGCCAUGGAAAUGCAGGGGGGAAAUGGCGGGUAUAAAACGCAGACACUUUUACUUGGCGGGUGGGAAAACUUGAUCAAUUUCCUGCAGCGUCUGCUUCCGAACUUGUGGGUGCACCCUGCUGGCUUCCCUACCAUUUCGUUCGUACUUACCACAGACAACGGGGCGUAUGAGCAAUAAAUUAAGCGCUGCCUUUUUUGCCCAGCAAGUCAACUCAAAAGUCAAUUAAUAACAAACAGCUAGCAACAGAGCAACAAAAAACGACAGCAUUUCACUGACCAGACAAACAUCUCGAUGUUGCGGCAUCGCAGCUGCACUGGAAGAUCUGGCCAAUGUAUAGAUGCACUGGGAAAAAAUUGUGCGAACAAAGAAGAGUAUUCAACAGCUAAUAGAGAUUAGACUAGCUGACCUUCGACUAUCACUAUCUGGAAUACAGUUCUUUCUAUAUAUCUACAUAUCUGAUCAUUUAAGAAUAUAUCAUUCAAUAGAAUACAGAUUUUGUGUUGUGUGCCACUGAGAGUUGAUUGCCUAGUGACGUCACGGAAUGCUUGCACCCCGACUUUUUGACCAGUUCAAAAGGUUAACUCGGUUUCGCCUUCGGCCAUCGAACGUGAGAGAGUUUCAGUCUUUCGCAAAGUUAUUUGAAGCCAUCUUCUUUUUUUUUUUAGUUGCUUUGUAUUAUGGAUUUCGUUUAUUUCUAAGCGCCUCAUUGUUUUCACAACCCAAUAUCAUUCGGCGUCAAUGUCAAUUCCGAACCUCAAUUGCCCCGACAAAGUCCAAGUCCAAGCGACUAACUAAGUAACAGCCGCAGUUCAAACAUUUAGACAAUUGCCGCGCCGUCACAAACGCUUCCAAUUAAGUCGGUGAAAAGCGGAGGAAAGUACGAAAGCUAGAAACAACACCAAGCCCUAUUCCAUGGAACAUCUGCGCCUUAGAACAAAAUAAUGUAAAUUGCCUAACCAGCUGGACUACGAAAAGAUCGGGGAGCAGGAGUUCACGAGGGUGUGGGUUAAACAC